rnacentral:rRNA from 1 species
UACGGAGGAUGCAAGCGUUAUCCGGAAUUACUGGGCGUAAAGAGUGUGUAGGCGGUGUUCCCAGUCUGUUGUGAAGUCUCCCGGCUUAACUGGGAGGGUGCAGCGGAAACUAGAAUGCUAGAGGGUGGGAGAGGUAAGCGGAAUUCCUGGUGUAGCGGUGAAAUGCGUAGAUAUCAGGAGGAACACCUGUGGUGUAGACAGCUUACUGGACCACUUCUGACGCUGAGACACGAAAGCGUGGGUAGCAAACAGG